GACGAACGCUGGCGGCGUGCCUAAUACAUGCAAGUAGAACGCACAGUUUAUACCGUAGCUUGCUACACCAUAGACUGUGAGUUGCGAACGGGUGAGUAACGCGUAGGUAACCUGCCUGGUAGCGGGGGAUAACUAUUGGAAACGAUAGCUAAUACCGCAUAAUAUUGAUUAUUGCAUGAUAAUUGAUUGAAAGAUGCUAUUGCAUCACUACCAGAUGGACCUGCGUUGUAUUAGCUAGUAGGUGAGGUAACGGCUCACCUAGGCGACGAUACAUAGCCGACCUGAGAGGGUGAUCGGCCACACUGGGACUGAGACACGGCCCAGACUCCUGCGGGAGGCAGCAGUAGGGAAUCUUCGGCAAUGGACGAAAGUCUGACCGAGCAACGCCGCGUGAGUGAAGAAGGGUUUCGGAUCGUAAAGCUCUGUUGUAAGAGAAGAACGGGUGUGAGAGUGGAAAGUUCACACUGUGACGGUAUCUUACCAGAAAGGGACGGCUAACUACGUG
rnacentral:rRNA from 1 species